UACGUAGGGUGCGAGCGUUAAUCGGAAUUACUGGGCGUAAAGCGUGCGCAGGCGGUUUUGUAAGCCAGAUGUGAAAGCCCCGGGCUUAACCUGGGAAUGGCAUUUGGGACUGCAAGGCUUGAGUGCGGCAGAGGAGACUGGAAUUCCUGGUGUAGCAGUGAAAUGCGUAGAUAUCAGGAGGAAUACCGAUGGCGAAGGCAGGUCUCUGGGCUGACACUGACGCUCAUGCACGA
rnacentral:rRNA from 1 species